rnacentral:rRNA from 1 species
AGCAGCCGCGGUAAUUCCAGCUCCAAUAGCGUAUAUUAAAGUUGUUGCAGUUAAAAGCUCGUAGUUGAAUUUCGGGAUUAGUACGCUGGUCAUGCCUUUGGUAUGUACUGGUGUUACUGGUUCCUACCUUCUGAAGAACCGUUAUGUCAUUAAUUUGGUGUGGCGGGGAAUCAGGACUGUUACUUUGAAAAAAUUAGAGUGUUUAAAGCAGGCUCGCGCUUGAAUACAUUAGCAUGGAAUAAUGAAAUAGGACGUUGAUCCUAUUUUGUUGGUUUCUAGGAUUGACGUAAUGACUAAUAGGGAUAGUUGGGGGCAUUAGUAUUCAAUUGUCAGAGGUGAAAUUCUUGGAUUUAUUGAAGACUAACUACUGCGAAAGCAUUUGCCAAGGAUGUUUUCAUUAAUCAAGAACGAAAGUUAGGGAUCGAAGACGAUCAGAUACCGUCGUAGUCUUAACCAUAAACUAUGCCGACUAGGGAUCGGGAUGAUGUUAAUUUUUAAUGACUCAUUCGGCGCCUUAAC